rnacentral:rRNA from 1 species
GAGAGUUUGAUCCUGGCUCAGAUUGAACGCUGGCGGCAUGCCUUACACAUGCAAGUCGAACGGCAGCACGGGAGCUUGCUCCUGGUGGCGAGUGGCGAACGGGUGAGUAAUACAUCGGAACGUACCCUGAAGUGGGGGAUAACGUAGCGAAAGUUACGCUAAUACCGCAUAUUCUGUGAGCAGGAAAGAGGGGGAUCGCAAGACCUCUUGCUUUAGGAGCGGCCGAUGUCGGAUUAGCUAGUUGGUGAGGUAAAGGCUCACCAAGGCGACGAUCCGUAGCGGGUCUGAGAGGAUGAUCCGCCACACUGGGACUGAGACACGGCCCAGACUCCUACGGGAGGCAGCAGUGGGGAAUUUUGGACAAUGGGCGCAAGCCUGAUCCAGCCAUGCCGCGUGAGUGAAGAAGGCCUUCGGGUUGUAAAGCUCUUUCGGUGGGGAAGAAAUUGCUUCGGUUAAUACCUGGAGUAGAUGACGGUACCCGCAUAAGAAGCACCGGCUAACUACGUG